UCCUGACCAGAAACUGACCUUGGUUUGAUAGGAAAGAAAGUGUUGUUGUACAGGUGUUAUGCAAAUGUGUGAAAUAGUCCUGAAGAAACCAACUGAUCAUGUCAUUCUAGCAUUGGCAUCCUGAUCAUCUGUCAGGCUAUUGUGUCUCAGAUAUCAUCGAUGGUUGUGGAGGAAGACUUGAAUAACAUUUUCAUGGACUGCAGCAUUCCAAGGGUUUGCUAAAUUACAUAAAUCUUCAUCACUGACUUGAUUUCCAAUACCCAUUGUGAAUGAAUUUAUUACCUGGUCAUUCAUAUUAUUCUUGAAAAAUUGGAAGUAGUUUUUCAUGGGUUUAGGCUAAUCCGAUUUAAUGAUAUGGAAAUUAUGGAUUGAUGAAUAUGACACGGUUGCAUCUUUUACCGACUGAGCUACUAGGUACUCUAAGAAAACCACCUCGAUGGAAAAUGCCACCAAGAAAAUCAAGCUGCAAACUUCAUGGCUAAGAGGCGC
rnacentral:lncRNA from 1 species